rnacentral:tRNA from 1 species
UGGAUUGUGGCUCAGUGGUAGAGCACUUCCCUAGCAUGCAUGAGGCCCUGGGUUCGAUUCUCAGCACCACAU